GGGUCGAUGGUGUAGUGGUAUCACGCUUCAGUCCGACUGUUAGAGUCCCGAGUUCGAUUCUCGGUCUUCCUC